rnacentral:rRNA from 1 species
UACGGAGGGUGCGAGCGUUGUCCGGAAUCACUGGGCGUAAAGGGCGCGUAGGUGGCGCGGGAAGUCAACGGUGAAAGUUCAGGGCUCAACCCUGAAUCGGCCGUCGAUACUCCCGGGCUUGAGCAGCUGUAGAGCAGGUGGAAUUCCGGGUGUAGCGGUGGAAUGCGUAGAGAUCCGGAAGAACACCGGUGGCGAAGGCGGCCUGCUGGGCAGUUGCUG